GAUGAACGCUAGCGGCAGGCCUAACACAUGCAAGUCGAGGGGCAGCACAGGAAAGUAGUAAUACUUUUGGGUGGCGACCGGCGAACGGGUGCGUAACGCGUAUACAACCUGCCUUCUACUGGGGGAUAAUUCGGAGAAAUCUGGUCUAAUACCCCAUAACAACCGAUGAGGCAUCUCAUUGGUUUAAAAGCUCCGGCGGUAGAAGAUGGGUAUGCGUGACAUUAGAUAGUUGGUGGGGUAACGGCUCACCAAGUCGACGAUGUCUAGGGGGACUGAGAGGUUAGCCCCCCACACUGGUACUGGGACACGGACCAGACUCCUACGGGAGGCAGCAGUGAGGAAUAUUGGUCAAUGGACGCAAGUCUGAACCAGCCAUGCCGCGUGCAGGGUGACGGCUCUAUGAGUUGUAAACUGCUUUUGUACGAGGGUAAAGUGGGUUACGUGUAACCUUUUGGAAGUAUCGUACGAAUAAGGAUCGGCUAACUCCGUGCCAGCCGCCGCGGUAA
rnacentral:rRNA from 1 species